rnacentral:rRNA from 1 species
GACAGAGGUCUCAAGCGUUAGGCGGAAUCACUGGGCUUAAAGCGUGUGUAGGCGGAUCGUUAAGUGCUUUGUGAAAUCCCACAGCUCAACUGUGGAACUGCUUGGCAUACUGGCGGUCUUGAGCCAUCUAGGGGUCGCUGGAACAAAUGGUGGAGCGGUGAAAUGCGUAGAUAUCAUUUGGAACGCCAAUGGUGAAAACAGGUAGCUGGGGGUGUGCUGACGCUGAGACACGAAAGCCAGGGGAGCAAACGGG